UGACCCAUGGUGUAAUGGUAACACUACUGAUUUUGGUUCAGUCAUUCUAGGUUCGAAUCCUAGUGGGUCAA
rnacentral:tRNA from 2 species